GUAGGUGGCAAGCGUUGUCCGGAAUUAUUGGGCGUAAAGCGCGCGCAGGCGGUUCUUUAAGUCUGACGUCGAAAGCCCACGGCUCAACCGUGGAGGGUCAUUGGAAACUGGAGAACUUGAGUACAGAAGAGGAAACGCGGAAUUCCACGUGUAGCGGUGAAAUGCGUAGAGAUGUGGAGGAACACCAGUGGCGAAGGCGGCUUUCUGGUCUGUAAUUGACGCUGAGGCGCGAAAGCGUGGGGAGCAAACAGGGAUUAGAUACCCUGGUAGUCCACGCCGUAAACGAUGAGUGCUAAGUGUUAGGGGGUUUCCGCCCCCUUAGUGCUGCAGCUAACGCAUUAAGCACUCCGCCUGGGGAGUACGGCCGCAAGGCUG
rnacentral:rRNA from 1 species